AUAGGAUUAUAAUGUGAAACACUCUGCCUCUAUUCAUUGCUUAAUAUGGGUUCUCAAAGCUCACAAAGAAAUAGAUCUAAUUAACUGAAAUUCAUCUCAUGUCUUUGUCUAACUUCUCUGGAAUACAUUUUGCUCUUUUUUUUCAAUAAAGAGUUUUGUGUUUGGCUUUUUAUUAUCAUGCAUAUUGUAAAAUGAAUAAAGCUGACUGACUCAUUUUGGGGAAAUAUACAUUUUUGAUGUGUUUUUCUCUGUGUCUAGGCAUUGUGAUGCCAUUUCAAACUAUGAAAUAAUCUAUUAACUGCACCUCGACAAAACUGGAAAACACUAUGGGUAAAGAGUACUGUAAACAUGGAAUUGUGAUGUAUGGUAUGUUUUUCCCCUUGCUUUGUCCCUUCCAGAAGGAUGAAAAUGAGUUUUUAAAUUAUGGCCAAAUGUAGCUUCCCUCACCUGCCACACACCUUUGAUCUUACAUUCAGAGAAAACAACUGUUCACAUCAAAUAAAAUUUGAGUAAUAGCUAUGAAAAACAUAAAACACCAAAAGCUGCCUAAAACACUGCUGUUUAUUCUAAAUGAGGAAGAACAAUGUAAAAAUGCAAUUUUUACCAAAACUUGCCUUUAGUCAGAACAUUCAAGCUCUCAGGGACCCAAGCAUAACUGAUGAAACUUUCUUCUAGACUUCAGAAAACAGAUUCUGACUCUAUCUAGGUUUUUUGUUAUUUUCAAUCUUUUUAAUGUGAGAUCAUUGUCAUUUUAAUGUUUCCCAUCUGUGUUGCACAGUAGAAUUGUCAUGUGUACCAAUUCCAGUGUUUGGAACAUGAAUAUGAUACAUGGAAAUAUGUUCGUUUUGGGUCAUAUAAUUACUCAUAAUGUGCAUGAAAAAUCCUAUCCCUUUUGAUAAGGAAAAGUUUUCAAAACAAAUUUCAGAUUUACUACCAUUUCCCU
rnacentral:lncRNA from 1 species